AUUGAACGCUGGCGGCAGGCUUUACACAUGCAAGUCGAACGAGUGGCGGACGGGUGAGUAACAUAUCGGAACGUACCUGAUAGUGGGGGAUAACUAAUCGAAAGGUUAGCUAAUACCGCAUAUUAUUCGAGCGGCCGAUAUGUGAUUAGCUGGUUGGUGGGGUACCGGCCCACCAAGGCGACGAUCACUAGCGGGUCUGAGAGGAUGACCCGCCACACUGGGACUGAGACACGGCCCAGACUCCUACGGGAGGCAGCAGUGGGGAAUUUUGGACAAUGGGCGCAAGCCUGAUCCAGCCAUGCCGCGUGUAUGAAGAAGGCCUUCGGGUUGUAAAGGACUUUUGUCAGGGAAGCGGUACCUGAAGAAUAAGCACCGGCUAACUCCGUGCCAGCAGCCGCGGUAAUAC
rnacentral:rRNA from 1 species